AUAACUUAUCAAAUCUAUACACCCCUUGUUUCUAGUUCCUGGAGAUUUUUCAAGGCGUUCUCAUAACCUGUUCUAAAAUUUGGAUAAAAAUUGUAAUCCAGUUUCGGCUUUGGGUCAUAAAAUUAAUCCAGUGUCACAAAAUCUUUAAAAAUCCACUGAUGGCAUUGACCAAGAUUAAUCUGUUCGUAUAUAAACCCACCACAGAAAGAUUCUAGCAGUAUUGUACCGAAUACACUUCUAAGAACUCAACAAAAAUGGCACCUAAAAGCUUCUCGAUGUAUUUGCUUUCCCUCAUUGUUGCAAUAAAUAUUGUUGCAAUAAUGGCCACCCACACCCAUUAUGACCCAAACAAAGUUUAUACCAUUCGUCCCCUGCAUGAUAAAACUGUGGCUCUACAUACUCGUGAUUCAUCACAAGUUCAGUUGCAAAUAUACAGUCACGGAAAAGCUUACUCGCUCUUUCAUAUUCAGCACAGCCGCGAAAAUGGAUUGUCAUUCUACCUAGUUAGUGAACCAACAGGGGAAGUAAUGGACUUUAAUAGAAGAACUAAAUCCGUUAUCAUGAGCUCAAGAAAUGGGUCUCUUAGGCAGUUGUGGUACUUGACACAUGAUAAUCGUAUUGUUAAUGCAGAUACCCACUUGGCUCUUACCCUCAGAUAUCGACAUGUUGAAAAUGGACAUCUUAAAUAUGGAACUCCGCUUAUUGUUUCUCAAAAUAACGGAAGCAUAAACCAGGAAUUUAAAAUAUGGGAAGAUUUACCUUCAUCAACCUAUUAAAGUGUUCGUCAUAUUCUAUGUUAUCCUUGUAUACUUGUAUGUUGUGUAUAUAUGAACUUAACUCUAACCUAACAAAACAAUGUUACAUUUAUACAGAAUUUAAAAUAUAAAAUAUACCUAAAUAUACUUAAUACAACUUC